rnacentral:lncRNA from 1 species
CCACUGUUAAUUUGACAUUGGCAGACAGGACCCAUAAACAUGGAUUGCCAUCUCUAUUAGCAGCUAAAUGUUUGUUGAGCAAGCUUGCUGUUUGCAAUGCAUCAUGUGGCUUUUGAGCAAUUCAGAAUCUUUCCCAAGAGAGAUUAGAGAAGAACACAUUCUGAAGAUAAGGGAUUCUUGCAGUGAAACUGUACCAUCUUCUAGUCCCAAGACAACUACUU